rnacentral:lncRNA from 1 species
GUUCUUCCACCUGAGAGCUCUCCAGAGAGAUGAGAAUAAUCCACACCUCUUCUUCUUCUUGGAAGCAGCAGUUGAGAUGUCGUUGACAUCAGUAGUAGAGGUAGACAUUUUCUCAGCAGAUUGCUCCAGGCUUGUAGCACUAGCAUCAACUUCAUGUAAAGCAACAAGGCAACUCUUGGUUGAAACCAUAGAAAUAGUCAUGACUAGUCUACUUCUCUUGGUUGAGACAUCAGCCACAAGGACCUCAGGUUGGUUGGAGGCUCUCAGGGUGGAGUCAUCAUCCUGAGACAUUAGGUUUGUAGCAGACUGGAUGGGGUCUUUCUCCAUGAUGACAACACUGGUAGACAGGUCCUGAGACACUAGACCUGCAGCAAACUGGAUUAGGUCAUUCUCCACAAUGGAAAUGCUGGUGGACAGCACCUGUGACACUAGGCCUGCAGCAGACUGGAUCAAGUCAUUCUCCAUGAUGGUAACACUGGUGGACAGAACCUGAGACACUAGGCCUGCAGCAGACUGGAUCAGGUCAUUCUCUAUGAUGGUAACACUGGUGGACAGAACCUGAGACACUAGGCAUGCAGCAGACUGGAUCAGGUCAUUUUCCACAAUGGAAACACUGGUGGACAGAUCCUGAGACACUAGGCCUGCAGCAGACUGGAUCAGGUCAUUCUCCACGAUGGCAACACUGGUGGACAGAACCUGAGACACUAGGCCUGCAGCAGACUGGAUCAGGUUGUCUUCCUCGAUGGAAACACUGGUGGACAGAACCUGAGGAGUCUGCAGGAGUGUCAGUGGCUCCCACUCAUCCAGGAAGAAGCUCUUGACAGAGGGGAAGCUUCUUCCUUUCAGAGCUGGGGGAAUGUAGGGGGUGUACCCAAUAGUCCAGAGCAGAGAGCUGUCAAUGGCAUUCGUGUAGUGGUACUUGUCGCCAAGUAACUCUGGAAAGCUCUGAUGGACGUUCUGACUCUCUGACUCUGGACUGUCAAGGGCGUUGAGUUGGGUCACCAUUGAG